CCUUCGAUAGCUCAGUUGGUAGAGCGGAAGGACUGUAGGCUGAUAUUCAAUCUGCAAUUAGCAGGUAUCCUUAGUGUCGCUGGUUCAACUCCGGCUCGAAGGA
rnacentral:tRNA from 1 species